AACUCAUUAAAUAGAUAAACUAGUAGUAUCAUAUCAAAUAUAUGAAAACUCAUUGCUGGCUCACAAACUAUGUAUUCUGCAUUCAUCACGAAAUGCAGUCCUGUUCUGCCUUCACAUCAUGAACAUACUGGACUACCUGAAGUCUAACAAAUUUCCACACAAGUAUAUCCUCAAACGGUACACAAAGACUGCAAAAUCACAACCAACCUUUGAUACAAGGGACUACAACACAACUGCAUCGGAUGGAGCUCAAGACUAUCGAAGCAAGACAUCUUGCUACAGCUCAAUUUGAUGGUUAACAAGAAAGCAAUGAGAUCAGCAAUAUGACAGAGCCUUCUAUGUUCUCAAGAGGCUCGUGGAAGAGCUUGAUGCAAUACAUUCAGCAAAUCGAGCAGAUGCUGACGGAAGGAUGGCUGAAGAGGAUGCCGAAAUUGAAGAUGACCUUCAUUAUUAUGCAGCUGAAAUGCUCCACGCCGUUGCUCAAGCCAACCAAUGCAAGCAGGGUGUUCACCAAUUAAUGCAGCAGCGGCAGCAAGAGAUGAUGAAACUGCCGCUAUACUCUGAAACAAAGGGUAGGAAGAAAAUUAAUGCAGCAAAGAAAAGUUACAAGAGAGCUCAAAUAAAGGCACCACCUGCAGGAAGAGUCGUCGUGCUCGAUGAGAACGGGGUGCCACUUGGACACAGGCAAUGUAGU
rnacentral:lncRNA from 1 species